UUUAUUUAGGCUGCACCUGUGACACGUGGAAGUUCUCAGUCCAGGGAUCGAACCCAUGCUGCAGUUGCAGCCUGCAUUGCAGCAAUACCAGAUCCUUAACCCCAUAUGCCUCGAGGGAACUUCCUCCUUUUCUAUUCUUAUACUUCUACUCUCAUUUCCAGCAUUGUUUUAGAAGUAUUAUAGUCAUUAGUUGAUUUUUUAAUCAACCCUAAAAUUAAUGACAGAUACAAGAAUAAAUGGAAAUUAAGAUUUUAUUAUGAUAAAGAUAUUUUGAAUUCUAUUAGGAGGACUGUAACAAUCUUGAUAAGGCUGCAUAAAUGAUUUGGUUUUAAAAAUUCACUAAAUAGCAGUGGAAAAGUUUAAUGUGAAAUCUCACCGCAGCUAAUUAUGUGUAUUAGCUAUGUUGAGUAGUUUGCUAGCCCAGAUAACCUUUAAACUUUGGCUGUAAUGGUAAUUUACUUAAUGGAAGGGCUUAAUAGAAAUAUUGAAACAAAUGUACCUCCUUAGAUUUACUGAGAUUGGAUUGGAAAGUUAGAAGACAUGAAUGUGCUGUGCACACAUACUGACAGAAAACCAUGUCAUUUUAAUGAUUCAUAAUUUCUAAUUAGCCAUGAUUAUUCUGAGUGGUUGUGGAUAUACAUUUUAAUUGUAUCACAUACCGUAAUUUCCAAUUUCCGUGGAGACGCUGAUGAAGUGAAAGUCGUAUUGCAAAGUCAUCAUUUAAAUAUUUGAGAAAUGGAAAGCUUUGAGAGGGAUAAAUAUCCACAGCUUAAUUAUAAUUUCUAUUGAUCUCAGAAACCAAUUUUGUCCCUGUAAGGUGGAUGGCUGUCUCUUUUCUCUUCUCUAGCUCAGUGUCAUGGUGAGGUUUUGGAACUGUGACACCCUCUUCUCAGUGGCUGGAGAGCAUGCUAUACUUCUAUUAUGUAUUCAGCUUUUCCAAAGACAAAAAAGUAGUCAAAAGGAGUGGAGGUAGGGCUGGCAGAGCAAGUGAACUGAGUACUAGAAGGCAGAGAGGUCUCACCGUGAUACUCAUAUUUCACAUCAUUAUAUAGUAGAACUAUUUGGAGGAUACUUAAUCAAAUCUAUCUUGUAUUUAGGUAUUAAAAUCCAAAGUGAAAGAAUAGGUAGGUCUGCAAGCAAAAGACAAUUGUCUGAACAAAACACGUCUCCCUGUAGCUUCUGAUGUGAGAUGUGGAAAUAAAGCGAGUUAGCAGUUGUGUAUCUUCAUGAAGAUUAAAACAAUUUAAAGCUAUUUGAUGGCUUCUUCUAGACACAGAGACAUCCUCUGUGUCACCUAGGGCUUCUAAUAUAUGGCACAGGAAAGCUGAAGUCAGCAUACCCCAGACAACUUUCUCGGAAGAGUUGCUCACCUCUAUUUAUGUGGGACCCACCUGAAUGCAAUAAUUAAGAAGAAUCCAUUCUAUUUCAACAUCCAUUUGUAAUGACACAGAGAAUUUCUUAACUUGAGGUUUCAUACAGACAAUGGGGAGAUUGGUUAUAAACAAAUACACCUACCUUUAGUUGAGAAAUGGGUAUAAUUUAUAGUAGAGUUAACCAAAGCAAAACAUUACUUAUUGAAACUAUAAAUAGUAGAUAUUCUGAGGAUUUGAUAUAAACGUUCAAUUUCUCCUCACCAAUAAAGUGGUGAUAGUAGCUAGGAAGAUAGGACCAGGUUAAUAAUCUCUGCCUAGAUAAAUCAGAUUUGGAUUUCUUUUCUUACAUUCUAUUUGACUUAGAGUGUUUUUCAGUUUGUGUUAUGAAACAGCAAUAGGCUUAAUUAUGUAGUGUCCAUAUAUGUGUUCCCAACACUAAUUGAAAAAAUACAAUGUUUGAAAUUUAUUUAAAUUACUAUAACAUUAUAAGUAAAAUUGUUAUAAAUUUUGAAAAAUGCAUAAAAGCUAACAAAUAUGUACUAAUGCAUUGAUCCUCUACAUCCUAUUAUAUUUGCUUCAAAUUAUCAAAACAUUCUUAUGCCUAUUGCAAUUAAAGGAAAUAUAAAUUAGGAUGUACUUAGUAUAGUUCUUGGCACAUAUUUAGAAUUCUGUUUUUUUAUUAUUAUUAAUAAAAGUGUAUAUUCCUUAAUAAGAAUUAUAAGUGGAAUAAGGCAUACAUUACAAUGAGGUAUGUGAUACUUACCUCCUUGAAACUAUGGUUUAGCAGAAAAAUUAGAUAAACAAUAAAACCAAUAAAGGUUAAUAGAUAUUAUGAUAGGCCAAAUAUAGAUUUCCUUAAAAAUAUAUAACUGGAGCAAGCUAUCCACCUAAUGGUUACUUUUCUUUUUAUCCAGAAGCUCUGGUAUGCGCAUGCUCGCUCUUGCGGCAUGUUCGUGCACGCGCUCUCUCUAUAUAUACUUUAUUGAAGGAAUGGUUUAAUAUGAGCGCUGACUUCCAAAUUGUUUCUAAUGUUCUCCACAUUCAGUAAUUUAACAUAUAUUUCAUAUUCCAGUCUUUCCAGAGAAAAAAGGAUCUUUCCUUUUGUGUUGGAGUUGAAAACUGAUAUCCCACUGGGCAAGCCUACAUGCCCCCUGACAACUAUUUUUUAAACUUAAUUAUAAGCAACUUAAAGGUUUAAUUGUUUUGCCAUUUCACACCCAAUGUUAAAUAAGUAAUUUUCUUUUUAUGUAUAGUAUUUAUCACUUUAUAUAAAUCAUGAGGCAGAGAUAACGAUAAAUAUAUACGGAGAAAUUAAAAUUAACUUUUCCAAGAAAGCACAAAACAAUUACAUUGAGAGUUUCUCUGUAGAGUCACUGGUGAUCAAUGACUACUUUACAAAAGAAGUUAAGGUUAUCAAACAAGAAUGAUUCUUGGGAGUUCCAUUGUGGCACAGUGGGUUAAGGAUCUGACAUUGUCAUUGCAGCAGCUUGGUUUCAAUCCCUGGCUCAGGACCUUCCACAUGCCAUGGGUUCCCCUGGAGUGAAGAUGUUUAACUGCAAAUUCAUGGCCCUCAAGGGUUUCAUUACUGGGCAUGGUAAGAAGCAGGGGUGACAACUUUUGCUCUCUGCAUACAUUGCGCAUCUUUCUGGAGAGAGGAUCUGUACUUUUAAUCUGUUUCUCAAAUGGAGUCACAACUGUAAAAUGGCAAGAAACCCUGUUCUCAAGGGUGUGGCAAGUCAACUUAAAUCUAUAGGAAGGGACCAAAUGACAGAAGUAGCAGCAUAUAGCCUCUUCCAGUUGGAACUAGAUGACUCCUGGUGAGUCCCUGUUCUAGUUUUCUUUCAAACCCCUGCAAGAUUGAUGACAGGUCAUUUUUCAGCAUGCUACAAAAAGCCAUAAAGUCCCUAUGAUAGUUUCCGUAAAGGUUAGCUGGUUGAUUUGUGACCUGGGAAGUCUUUUCUUCCAGCUUAUGAUUUUCCAAAAGAAAGUUUGUGGGGAAAGAUCUUGAGGAGAAGGCAGGAUAUUUAUGACAUGAUGAGCAGUCUGUACGUGGGUUUCACACUGAGAAGAGAGGAUGGAUGAGGGUGAGCAUCAGGUUGUAGCUAGUUACCUGAUAUCCUGAGGAUGCGUUGAGCUUAGAGGUCACCCAGCCCUAGUGGAGUGUCACCUUUAUAGAGAUGUGACCGAGCUGUGCCAUUAACUUUGUGUAGUACUAAAUAAUGUUAUGAGUAGCAGCAUUUUGUAAUUAUCAAAGUUCAGGCUUGGAGCUGUUUCUCCUGGGCUCAAAUCCUGGCCCUCUCACUGAGAUACUCUAUUACACUGGACAACUUUCCUAAUUCUGUCUCAUUAGCAAAACAGGGUGGUAAGUAAUAAGACCUACUGCAUGGGCUUGCUCUUAGACUUUAAUGUUAUUAUGUAUUAAGUACUUAGAAGAGUGUCUUACAUGGGGAACUAUAUUCCAUAUCUUGUAGUAACCUAUAAUAGAAAAUAAUCUGAAAAUAUAU
rnacentral:lncRNA from 1 species